AAAAAAAGCCACUAAGCUUCAGCUAUACACGACCGUACCGCAAACCGACACUGGUGCGCGAGAUGAGUAUUCUAAGGCGCUUGAGAGAACUCAGGAGAAGGAACUCGGCAAAUUGACACCGUAACUUCGGAAGAAGGUGUGCCCUAUUAGUGUGAAGUGAACAACGGAGCAUGAAUGGGUUGCAAAAAAUCGGUGGCUGCGACUGUUUAUUAAAAACACAGCACUCUGCAAACACGAAAGUGGACGUAUAGGGUGUGACGCCUGCCCGGUGCUGGAAGAUUAAAUGAUGGGGUGCAAGCUCUUGAUUGAAGUCCCAGUAAACGGCGGCCGUAACAAUAACGGUCCUAAGGUAGCGAAAUUCCUUGUCGGGUAAGUUCCGACCUGCACGAAUGGCGUAACGAUGGCCACACUGUCUCCUCCUGAGACUCAGCGAAGUUGAAAUGUUUGUGAUGAUGCAAUCUCCCCGCGGAAAGACGGAAAGACCCCAUGAACCUUUACUGUAGCUUUGUAUUGGACUUUGAACAGAUCUGUGUAGGAUAGGUGGGAGGCUUUGAAGCAGGGUCGCUAGAUCUUGUGGAGCCAACGUUGAAAUACCACCCUGGUGUGUUUGAGGUUCUAACCUAGGUCCAUUAUCUGGAUCGGGGACAGUGCAUGGUAGGCAGUUUGACUGGGGCGGUCUCCUCCCAAAGCGUAACGGAGGAGUUCGAAGGUACGCUAGUUACGGUCGGACAUCGUGACGAUAGUGCAAUGGCAUAAGCGUGCUUAACUGCGAGACUGACAAGUCGAGCAGAUGCGAAAGCAGGACAUAGUGAUCCGGUGGUUCUGUAUGGAAGGGCCAUCGCUCAACGGAUAAAAGGUACUCUGGGGAUAACAGGCUGAUACCGCCCAAGAGUUCAUAUCGACGGCGGUGUUUGGCACCUCGAUGUCGGCUCAUCUCAUCCUGGGGCUGUAGCCGGUCCCAAGGGUAUGGCUGUUCGCCAUUUAAAGAGGUACGUGAGCUGGGUUUAAAACGUCGUGAGACAGUUUGGUCCCUAUCUUCCGUGGGCGCUGCAGAUUUGAGGAAGCCUGCUCCUAGUACGAGAGGACCGGAGUGGACACACCUCUGGUGUAUCGGUUGUCACGCCAGUGGCAUUGCCGAGUAGCUAAGUGUGGAAGAGAUAACCGCUGAAAGCAUCUAAGCGGGAAACUCGUUUCAAGAUGAGAUCUGCCGGGGCCUUGAGCCCCCUGAAGAGUCGUUCAAGACCAGGACGUUGAUAGGUCAGGUGUGGAAGCGCAGUAAUGCGUUAAGCUAACUGAUACUAAUUGCUCGUGCGGCUUGACCCG
rnacentral:rRNA from 1 species